rnacentral:ncRNA from 1 species
AAAGUAAUUGAUUUUGUUACCUUUACUAAUAUGUAUAUUUAUUAAACAUGUGAGUUUUAGUGUGUAAUUAUAUUUUAUUUAAUAUAAAAUUUAAUAUUAAAUUUCAGUUUUUAGUUUUGAAUUUUUUAGAUCAAUCUAAUAUUAGUAAAAUAAAAAAUGACACUAGCAAAUUUUAGUGCCAGCAGUUGCGGUUAUUCUAAUAGUGUAUUUUAGUUAUUUUGGUUAGGUAUUAACUUUUAAUUUUAUAUUUAAGGAUUAUUUUAUUAAGUGAAAUUUUAAAUUAAUAGAUAGAUAUAGGUUGUGUAUAUAUUAAAUUGUAUAUAAUAAACUAGGAUUAGAUACCCUAUUAUUUACUUUUAAAUGUAGACUUUAUUAGUAGUGAUUUAGUUUAUGAAAAUAAAAGAAUUUGGCGGUAAUUAUUUUAAUUAUUUAGAGGAACCUGCUUUCUAAUCGAUAAACCACGAGUAAUUGUACCUUAUCUCUUUGUUUAUAUACCUCUAUCAUUGAAUGUUUUAUAAGAAUUAUUUUCUUUAAUUAUUUAAGUAUAAAAUGUUAGGUCAAGGUUUAGCUUGUUAAGGUAAAGGUGGGUUACAUUAAUAAAAUUUAUAGAUUUGUUUACUUGUAUUUUUAAUGAAAUUGGAUUUAAUUGUAAUUUUAAUUAAUUGUUAAAGUGAAAUUAUUAUAGUUAUGUACAUAUCGCCCGUCAUUCUCAUAUAAUUGGGACAAGUCGUAACAAAGUAGGGUUACUGGAAAGUGGUCCUGGUUAGU